CCUACGGGAGGCAGCAGUGGGGAAUAUUGCACAAUGGGCGCAAGCCUGAUGCAGCCAUGCCGCGUGUGUGAAGAAGGCCUUCGGGUUGUAAAGCACUUUCAGCGGGGAGGAAGGCGGUGAGGUUAAUAACCUCAUCGAUUGACGUUACCCGCAGAAGAAGCACCGGCUAACUCCGUGCCAGCAGCCGCGGUAAUACGGAGGGUGCAAGCGUUAAUCGGAAUUACUGGGCGUAAAGCGCACGCAGGCGGUCUGUCAAGUCGGAUGUGAAAUCCCCGGGCUCAACCUGGGAACUGCAUUCGAAACUGGCAGGCUAGAGUCUUGUAGAGGGGGGUAGAAUUCCAGGUGUAGCGGUGAAAUGCGUAGAGAUCUGGAGGAAUACCGGUGGCGAGGGCGGCCCCCUGGACAAAGACCGACGCUCAGGUGCGAAAGCGUGGGGAGCAAACAGGAUUAGAUACCCCAGUAGUC
rnacentral:rRNA from 1 species